GAUGAACGCUGACAGAAUGCUUAACACAUCAGCAAUUGAUUUGUGGCGGACGGGUGAGUAACGCGUAAAGAACUUGCCUCACCGCUAGGGACAACAUUUGUAAACGAAAGCUAAUACCUAAUACUGUGAGCGAGCUGUGCGUCCCAUUAGCUAGUUGGAGAGGUACCGGCUCACCAAGGCGAUGAUGGGUAGCCGGCCUGCGAGGGUGAUCGGGCACAAGGGGACGUAGACACGGCCCUUACUGCUACGGGAGGCAGCGGUGGGGAAUAUUGGACAAUGGACCAAAGUCUGAACCAGCAAUUCUGUGUGCACGAUUAAGUUUUCGGAAUGUAAAGUGAUGUCAGUUGGGAAGCGGUACCAACAGAAGAAGCGACGGCUAAAUACGUGCCAGCCGCCGCGGUAAUAC
rnacentral:rRNA from 1 species